UGCAAGUCGAGCGGUAGAGAGAAGCUUGCUUCUCUUGAGAGCGGCGGACGGGUGAGUAAUGCCUAGGAAUCUGCCUGGUAGUGGGGGAUAACGUUCGGAAACGGACGCUAAUACCGCAUACGUCCUACGGGAGAAAGCAGGGGACCUUCGGGCCUUGCGCUAUCAGAUGAGCCUAGGUCGGAUUAGCUAGUUGGUGAGGUAAUGGCUCACCAAGGCGACGAUCCGUAACUGGUCUGAGAGGAUGAUCAGUCACACUGGAACUGAGACACGGUCCAGACUCCUACGGGAGGCAGCAGUGGGGAAUAUUGGACAAUGGGCGAAAGCCUGAUCCAGCCAUGCCGCGUGUGUGAAGAAGGUCUUCGGAUUGUAAAGCACUUUAAGUUGGGAGGAAGGGUUGUAGAUUAAUACUCUGCAAUUUUGACGUUACCGACAGAAUAAGCACCGGCUAACUCUGUGCCAGCAGCCGCGGUAAUACAGAGGGUGCAAGCGUUAAUCGGAAUUACUGGGCGUAAAGCGCGCGUAGGUGGUUUGUUAAGUUGGAUGUGAAAUCCCCGGGCUCAACCUGGGAACUGCAUUCAAAACUGACUGACUAGAGUAUGGUAGAGGGUGGUGGAAUUUCCUGUGUAGCGGUGAAAUGCGUAGAUAUAGGAAGGAACACCAGUGGCGAAGGCGACCACCUGGACUAAUACUGACACUGAGGUGCGAAAGCGUGGGGAGCAAACAGGAUUAGAUACCCUGGUAGUCCACGCCGUAAACGAUGUCAACUAGCCGUUGGAAGCCUUGAGCUUUUAGUGGCGCAGCUAACGCAUUAAGUUGACCGCCUGGGGAGUACGGCCGCAAGGUUAAAACUCAAAUGAAUUGACGGGGGCCCGCACAAGCGGUGGAGCAUGUGGUUUAUUCGAAGCACGCGAAGAACCUUACCAGGCCUUGA
rnacentral:rRNA from 1 species